rnacentral:rRNA from 1 species
AGUGAGCGCUGGCGGUAGGCCUAACACAUGCAAGUCGAACGGCAGCACAGUAAGAGCUUGCUCUUACGGGUGGCGAGUGGCGGACGGGUGAGGAAUACAUCGGAAUCUACUUUUUCGUGGGGGAUAACGUAGGGAAACUUACGCUAAUACCGCAUACGACCUACGGGUGAAAGCAGGGGAUCUUCGGACCUUGCGCGAUUGAAUGAGCCGAUGUCGGAUUAGCUAGUUGGCGGGGUAAAGGCCCACCAAGGCGACGAUCCGUAGCUGGUCUGAGAGGAUGAUCAGCCACACUGGAACUGAGACACGGUCCAGACUCCUACGGGAGGCAGCAGUGGGGAAUAUUGGACAAUGGGCGCAAGCCUGAUCCAGCCAUACCGCGUGGGUGAAGAAGGCCUUCGGGUUGUAAAGCCCUUUUGUUGGCAAAGAAAAGCAGCAGGUUAAUACCCCGCUGUUCUGACGGUACCCAAAGAAUAAGCACCGGCUAACUUCGUG